UUUUUUGAUUUUUUUUUGCUAUUUUUUGUGAAUUUACUGUUCACCAUUUACUAUUCACCAGACGGUCAAACCCCUUUGACCGGACGGUAACGGCACAGAAGGGCAUUUCUGUAAGGUGACUUGAUGGAAGAGGGGUAUUUUUGAGCACACCUAAAAAUUAGGGGCAAAUGCCAGGUGGUGGCUCAAGUUAGGGGGAUAAAUGGAGUUGUCCCUUUAUUGAAUGCUCGCAGAUUCCAGCUUUGUCCAAUGCACGUGCACUCUUAUUAUUUUCACAUCGUUCGGUCAUGCAAGUGAAAGGCAAUUAUGACUAUAUAUGAUGGACUGACUGAGAUGAGAAAAGCUGGUAUGAACUCGACCUCUCUUGUUUUUGUAAAUAUGAUUAGUUCAUCGUUCCUGAUUCAUCCUAUUAUGAAUAAACAUGUUUGCAAUGACAAUUAGAGAUCAUAGUUGCUUGUGCCAUGCUUGAUUAGCUAUGAGUUAUAAUGGUUUACCUUGCGUGCCAACAUGCUAUUAAAAUGGUUGUGAUGUGGUAUAGUGGGGUGGUAUCCUCCUUUGAAUGAUUUAAGUGACUCGACUUGGCACAUGUUCACACAUGUAGUUGAAACAAAUCAACAGUAGCCUUCACGAUAUUUAUGUUCAUGGUGGAUUAUAUCCUACUCAUGCUCGUACUCAAUGUCUAUUAAUUUUAAUGCAUGUUCAUGACUGUUGUCGCUCUCUAGUUGGUCGCUUCCCAGUCUUUUGCUAGCCUUCACUUGUACUAAGCGGGAAUACUGCUUGUGCAUCCAAUCCCUUAAACCCCAAAGUUAUUCCAUAUGAGUCCACCAUACCUUCCUAUAUGUGGUAUCUACCUGCCAUUUCAAGUAAAUUUGUAUGUGCCAAACUCUAAACCUUCAAAUGAAAUUCUGUUUUGUAUGCUCGAAUAGCUCAUGUAUCAACUAGGGAUGUCUGUAUCUUCCAUGCUAGGCGGGUUAUUCUCAAGAGGAGUGGACUCCGCUCCUCACUCAAGAGAAAAUGGCUGGUCACCGGUAUGCCCAGUCCCAUGCUUUAUGCAAACUAAAUCAAAAUAAUUGCAAACAAAACUCCCCCUGGGACUGUUGCUAGUUGGAGGCACUCGUUGUUUCAAGCAAGCCAUGGAUUGAUGCUUGUUGGUGGAGGGGGAGUAUAAACUUUACCAUUCUGUUUGGGAACCGCCUAUAAUGUGUGUAGCAUGGAAGAUAUCGCCAUCUCUUGGUUGUUAUGUUCACAAUGAAAGUAUGCCGCUCAAAAUAUUAUUUAUCUCUAUUUCAAAUCCGAGCCCUGGCACCUCUACAAAUCCCUGCUUCCCUCUGCCAAGGGCCUAUCUAUUUACUUUUAUGUUGAGUCACACCCUCUUAUUAAAAAGCACUAGCUGGAGAGCGCUGCUGUCAUUUGCAUCCAUUACUAUUAAUUUAUAUUGGGUAUGACUAUGACUGGAUCUCUUUUAUCAUGAAUUACAAUGUCUAGUCAGUCCUUGAUCUUUAAAGGUGCUCUGCAUUUAUGUUUUGCGGUCUAAGAAAGGGCUAGCGAGAUACCAUCCUGUUAUAUCAUAUCAUGAUUGUUUUGAGAAAGUGUUGUCAUCCGAGAUUUAUUAUUAUCGCUCGCUAGUUGAUUAUGCCAUUGAUAUGAGUAAACAUGAGACCUAAGAGUUAUUGUGAAUGUGGUUAGUCAUAGUCUUUGCUGAAAACUUGAAUGCUGGCUUUACAUAUUUACAACAACAAGAGCAAAAAGAGUUUGUAAAAGUUUUUUCUUUAUCACUUUCAGUUUAUCAACUGAAUUCCUUGAGGACAAGCAAAGGUUUAAGCUUGGGGGAGUUGAUAUGUCUCCAUCGUAUCUACUUUUCCAAACACUUUUGCCCUUGUUUUGGACUCUAACUUGCAUGAUUUGAAUGGAACUAACCCGGACUGACGCUGUUUUCAGCAGACUUUCCAUGGUGUUAUUUAUGUGCAGAAAGAAAAGUUCUCGGAAUGACCUGAAACUCCACGGAACGUCUUUUUGGAAAAUAAGAAAAAUACUGGAAGAAAAAUCCACGUCAGGGGGCCCACACCCUGUCGAUGAGGGUGGGGGCGCGCCCCCCUACCUCGUGGGCCCCCUGACGCUCCACCGACCUCAACUCCAACUCCAUAUAUUCACUUUCGGGGAGUAAAAAAUCAGGGAGAAGGAUUCAUCGCGUUUCACGAUACGGAGCCGCCGCCAAGCCCUAAAACCUCUCGGGAGGGCUGAUCUGGAGUCCGUUCGGGGCUGCGGAGAGGGGGAUUCGUCGUCGUCGUCAUCAUCAACCAUCCUCCAUCACCAAUUUCAUGAUGCUCACCGCCGUGCGUGAGUAAUUCCAUCGUAGGCUUGCUGGACGGUGAUGGGUUGGAUGAGAUCUAUCAUGUAAUCGAGUUAGUUUUGUUAGGGUUUGAUCCCCAGUAUCCACUAUGUUCUGAGAUUGAUGUUGCUAUGACUUUGCUAUGCUUAAUGCUUGUCACUAGGGCCCGAGUGCCAUGAUUUCAGAUCUGAACCUGUUAUGUUUUCAUGAAUAUAUGUGAGUUCUUGAUCCUAUCUUGCAAGUCUAUAGUCACCUACUAUGUGUUAUGAUCCGGCAACCCCGAAGUGACAAUAAUCGGGACCACUCCCGGUGAUGACCGUAGUUUGAGGAGUUCAUGUAUUCACUAUGUGUUAAUGCUUUGGUCCGGUACUCUAUUAAAAGGAGGCCUAAAUAUCCCUUAGUUUCCAUUAGGACCCCGCUGCCACGGGAGGGUAGGACAAAAGAUGUCAUGCAAGUUCUUUUCCAUAAGCACGUAUGACUAUAUUCGGAAUACAUGCCUACAUUACAUUGAUGAAUUGGAGCUAGUUCUGUGUCACCCUAUGUUAUGACUGUUACAUGAUGAACCGCAUCCGGCAUAAUUUUCCAUCACCGAUCCAAUGCCUACGAGCUUUUCACAUAUUGUUCUUCGCUUAUUUACUUUUCCGUUGCUAUUGUUACAAUCACUACAAAAUACCAAAAAUAUUACUUUUGCUACCAUUACCGUUACCGUUACUUCCAUAUUACUUUGCUACUAAAUACUUUGCUGCAGAUAUUAAGUUAUCCAAGUGUGGUUGAAUUGACAACUCAGAUGCUAAUACUUGAGAAUAUUCUUUGGCUCCCCUUGUGUCGAAUCAAUAAAUUUGGGUUGAAUACUCUACCCUCGGAAACUGUUGCGAUCCCCUAUACUUGUGGGUUAUCAACGCGCAGCCAACGAGACUAGCAUAUGACACGGUCGAUGGCUUGGUCUCACUAGCCAUGGAGCAUUGGAUGCUAACUGGAUAAUAUGGACUUGAAAGGAUCUGGUUGGAUUCGACGUAGUCGGAUCCGAGUCGAGAUAAGGUCCGAGUCGGACAGACCCAACUAUGAGACGCAGCGAUAUGUCAUGUGUCAGUCUCUAGUACAACAUACGUUCUAUGUCCUAGGACCUGAGCUGGCACAUGUACUCGGGAUGGUGACAGACUUGCUUUGGGCCGACCAAACACUACUCCAUGACUGGAUAGUUACAAAGGUAGGUUUCAGGCUUGUCCAGACCCAUGCUGCGAGACAUGGUCGAGCAAGUUGGGAUUUGCCCCUCCGAUCAGGAGAGAUAUACUCUGGGCCCCUCGUGUGAUCCGACCAGGAUAAGCAUGGCCAUGCGACAAGGAUUAUGAGAUAAUCUGGUUUGUGGUCGACAUCAUUGGAACGAGAAAGAGGUCGGGCUAGCACAAGGAUGACAAACUCGCCUUGAGCCCGACAACAAAUAUCGUGUGGCAAAAGGAAUGGAAGUAUGAUGUACAGGUUCGCCUAACCAGCUUCAUCGUCUGCUUGGUGGUCGGCACGCCUUGCUAGAGGCCGCUACCAGCCAUGUAGUUCGGAGGUGAUCCGAACUGCGACCGAGCCGGCUUGAACCUAAGGGGUCGCGCACUUAAGGGAAGGAACCUACGAGGUCGGAUCUGAGGACACUGGUCGGAUGUGAUCUGAUAACCCACAAGUAUAGGGGAUCGCAACAGUUUUCGAGGGUAGAGUAUUCAACCCAAAUUUAUUGAUUCGACACAAGGGGAGCCAAAGAAUAUUCUCAAGUAUUAGCAGUUGAGUUGCCAAUUCAACCACACCUGGAUAACUUAAUAUCUGCAGCAAAGUAUUUAGUAGCAAAGUAGUAUGGAAGUAACCGUAAUGGUAGCAAAAGUAAUAUUUUUGGGUUUUGUAGUGAUUGUAACAGUAACAACGGAAAAGUAAAUAAGCGAAGAACAAUAUGUGAAAAGCUCGUAGGCAUUGGAUCGGUGAUGGAGAAUUAUGCCGGAUGCGGUUCAUCAUGUAACAGUCAUAACAUAGGGUGACACAGAACUAGCUCCAAUUCAUCAAUGUAAUGUAGGCAUGUAUUCCGAAUAUAGUCAUACGUGCUUAUGGAAAAGAACUUGCAUGACAUCUUUUGUCCUACCCUCCCGUGGCAGCAGGGUCCUAACGGAUAUUAAGGCCUCCUUUUAAUAGAGUACCGGACCAAAGCAUUAACACAUGGUGAAUACAUGAACUCCUCAAACUACGGUCAUCACCGGGAGUGGUCCCGAUUAUUGUCACUUCGGGGUUGCCAGAUCAUAACACAUAGUAGGUGACUAUAGACUUGCAAGAUAGGAUCAAGAACUCACAUAUAUUCAUGAAAACAUAAUAGGUUCAUAUCUGAAAUCAUGGCACUCGGGCCCUAGUGACAAGCAUUAAGCAUAGCAAAGUCAUAGCAACAUCAAUCUUAGAACAUAGUGGAUACUAGGGAUCAAACCCUAACAAAACUAACUCGAUUACAUGAUAAAUCUCAUCCAACCCAUCACCGUCCAGCAAGCCUGCGAUGGAAUUACUCACGCAUGGCGAUGAGCAUCAUGAAAUUGGUGAUGGCGGAUGGUUGAUGAUGACGACGGCGACGGAUUCCCCUCUUCGGAGCCCCGAACGGACUCCAGAUCAGCCCUCCCGAGAGAGUUUAGGGCUUGGCGGCGGCUCCGUAUUGUAAAACGCGAUGAAUCCUUCUCCCCCAUUUUUUUCUCCCCGAACACGAAUAUAUGGAGUUGGAGUUGAGGUCGGUGGAGCAACAGGGGGCCCACGAGGCAGGGGCGCGCGCCCCCAACCUCGUGGAAAGGGUGGAGGCCCCCUGACGUGGACUCUUCUUCCAGUAUUUUUAUUAUUUUCCAAAAAUAAGUUCCGUGGAGUUUCAAGUCAUUCCGAGAACUUUUGUUUCUGCACAUAAAUAACACCAUGGAAAGUUUACUGAAAACUGCGUCAGUCCGGGUUAGUUCCAUUCAAAUCAUGCAGGUUAGAGUCCAAAACAAGGGCAAAAGUGUUUGGAAAAGUAGAUACGACGGAGACGUAUCAACUCCCCCAAGCUUAAACCUUUGCUUGUCCUCAAGCAAUUCAGUUGAUAAACUGAAAGUGAUAAAGAAAAACUUUUACAAACUCUGUUUGCUCUUGUUGUUUUAAAUAUGUAAAGCCAGCAUUCAAGUUUUCAGCAAAGAUUAUGACUAACCACAUUCACAAUAACUCUUAGGUCUUAUGUUUACUCACAUCAAUGGCAUAAUCAACUAGCGAGCAAUAAUAAUAAAUCUCGGAUGACAACACUUUCUCAAAACAAUCAUGAUAUGAUAUAACAAGAUGGUAUCUCGCUAGCCCUUUCUGAGACCGCAAAACAUAAAUGCAGAGCACCUUUAAAGAUCAAGGACUGACUAGACAUUGUAAUUCAUGGUAAAAGAGAUCCAGUCAUACUCAUACCCAAUAUAAAUUAAUAGUAAUGGAUGCAAAUGACAGUUGUGCUCUCGAGCUGGUGCUUUCUAAUAAGAGGGUGAUGACUCAACAUAAAAGUAAAUAGAUAGGCCCUUCGCAGAGGGAAGCAGGGAUUUGUAGAGGUGCCAGAGCUCGGUUUUGAAACAGAGAUAAAUAAUAUUUUGAGCGCCAUACUUUCAUUGUCAACAUAACAACCAAGAGAUGGCGAUAUCUUCCAUGCUAACACAUUAUAGGCGGUUCCCAAACAGAAUGGUAAAGUUUAUACUCCCCCUCCACCAACAAGCAUGAAUCCAUGGCUUGCUCGAAACAACGAGUGCCUCCAACUAACAACAGUCCCAGGGGGAGUUUUGUUUGCAAUUAUUUUGAUUUGAUUUGCAUAAAGCACGGGACUCGGCAUCCCGGUGACCAGCCAUUUUCUCGUGAGUGAGGAGCGGAGUCCACUCCUCUUGAGAAUAACCCGCCUAACAUGGAAGAUAUGGACAGCCCUAGUUGAUACAUGAGCUAUUCGAGCAUACAAAACAGAAUUUCAUUUGAAGGUUUAGAGUUUGGCACAUACAAAUUUACUUGGAACGGCAAGUAGAUACCGCAUAUAGGAAGGUAUAGUGGACUCAUAUGGCAUAACUUUGGGGUUUAAGGAAUUGGAUGCACAAGCAGUAUUCCCGCUUAGUACAAGUGAAGGCUAGCAAAAGACUGGGAAGCGACCAACUAGAGAGCGACAACAGUCAUGAACAUGCAUUAAAAUUAAUAAACAUUGAGUACAAGCAUGAGUAGGAUAUAAUCCACCAUGAACAUAAAUAUCGUGAAGGCUAUGUUGAUUUGUUUCAACGACAUGUGUGAACAUGUGCCAAGUCGAGUCACUUAAAUCAUUCAAAGGAGGAUACCACCCUAUCAUACCACAUCACAACCAUUUUAAUAGCAUGUUGGCACGCAAGGUAAACCAUUAUAACUCAUAGCUAAUCAAGCAUGGCACGAGCAACUAUAAUCUGUAAUUGUCAUUGCAAACAUGUUUAUUCAUAAUAGGCUGAAUCAGGAACGAUGAACUAAUCAUAUUUACAAAAACAAGAGAGGUCGAGUUCAUACCAGCUUCUCUCAUCUCAAUCAGUCCAUCAUAUAUCGUCAUUAUUGCCUUUCACUUGCACGACCGAACGAUGUGAAAAUAAUAAGAGUGCACGUGCAUUGGACUAAGUUAGAAUCUGUGAGCAUUCAAUAAACAGGAGAAGACAAGGCAAUAUGGGCUCUUGGUUAAAUCAACAAUAAUGCAUAUAAGAGCCACUUCAACAAUUUAAUUAUGGUCUUCUCCUAUCGACCUCCAAAGAAAAGAAAAGAAAUAAAACUAUUUACACGGGAAAGCUCCCAACAAGCAAAAGAAGAACGGGAA
rnacentral:lncRNA from 1 species